UAUUUUUUAAAGGUUUUUUUC
rnacentral:piRNA from 1 species